rnacentral:rRNA from 1 species
UCCCGUAGAUAGACUCGCCUACAACUUUUGGUGAGUAAUGCCACCAAGGUAUAACAGUACGGCCUCUGAGAGGAGGGGCCCGGAGAUGGGUACUGAGACACGGACCCAGGCCCUAUGGGGCGCAGCAGGCGAGAAACCUUUGCAAUGUGCGAAAGCACGACAAGGUUAAUCCGAGUGUCUCCUGCUAAAGGAGUCUUUUGUCAGUUGUAGAAUCACUGGUGAAUAAGGGGCGGGCAAGUUCUGGUGUCAGCCGCCGCGGUAAAACCAGCACCUCGAGUGGUCAGGAGGUUUAUUGGGCCUAAAGCAUCCGUAGCCGGUUGCAUAAGUUUUCGGCUAAAUCUAUGCGCUUAACGUAUAGGCCGCCGAAAAUACUGUGCAGCUAGGGAGUGGGAGAGGUACACGGUACUCGAUAGGAAGGGGUAAAAUCCUUUGAUCUAUUGAAGACCACCUGUGGCGAAGGCGGUGUACCAGAACACGUUCGACGGUGAGGGAUGAAAGCUGGGGGAGCAAACCGGAUUAGAUACCCGGGUAGUCCCAGCUGUAAACGAUGCAGACUCGGUGAUGCAUUGGCUUGUGGCCAAUGCAGUGCCGCAGGGAAGCCGUUAAGUCUGCCGCCUGGGAAGUACGUACGCAAGUAUGAACUUAAAGGAAUUGGCGGGGGAGCACCACAAGGGAUGAGCCUGCGUUCAAUUGGAUCA